UGCAAUUAUAUGCAACACAACAUCUGUGCAACGAAUAUAAUUAGUUGUGCAUCUGAAAUAAACCCAUAAAUAAAAUUGUGCAACAUCAACACACAUUCAUGCAAUUACAAUAUAUAUCUGUGCAGGUGUGCAAUUGAAAUCUACAUAUAAAACAAAUGGAUUAUAAAACAAAGUAUGGAAGAAUAUAAAAAAAAAAAAUCAAGAUGACGAAAAAAUUAAAAAAAAAAUACAUAAAAUUUAAUCUACAAAAAACUAUAACUCUUUUAUUAAAAACUAAUUGGAUAAAAAAACAAAAUGGAUAAAAAACGAAAUUAAAACAAAACAUCUAUUAUUAAUUAAGAAAACCUUAAAAGACAAAUAUAACCUUCUCCUAAUUAAAAACAAAAAAAAACGGCAAAAUCAAACAAAUUCCAUCAUUUUAGGCGCAUUAUUAAUCAAAUUAAUCAUAAC
rnacentral:lncRNA from 1 species